AUUGUACACGAUGAGGGCUUGCUGUCGAAUGAGACAAUCGGCAGCUUACCUAUUUUAUUUGUGCGUUACUAUCGAGCAACUUAUUCAAAUAUAAUUAGCGUACAUAUCGAUACUUAAAACAAAGUGGCAACUCCGCAUGCGAUGAACGAGAAUUCAUCGCAUGCAUCGAAAGUGAUCGACUGCAGUGUAUUGCAGUCUGGCAAUAUUUUCUUACAAAUAAAUUAUACAUGAUACAUUGUAUUGUGUUUUAACACCAGUUACUAAUUAAUUAAUGAUUCUUUUCUUUCCAGGGGACUCUGGUGAAUUCGCAAGCGGGCGUGCCUUUCGAUGUGCGAGUUGCCUCCAGUUAUGUCCGGGUCGCCACUCGCUAACUGGAUACUGCUGCAGCGUCGGUUGCCGUUGGCCAUAUGUCGCGUGCCGUAGUGGACUUUGCAAGGAAUGCGGCCAAAUUUGCAGCUGUUCCUGGUCUGUGGUUGGAAAAUGCCUGUGUUGUUGCUGCUGUGCUGACUGAGGGGACCGCUUGCGCUUGGUGCCUGUCGGAGUUUGUUGUUGUAGCUUAGUGUGCUCACUGAUCCCUUGCUGCCUAUGUCGGUGAUGCCGUGGCGGCGGUGAUCGGAUUGGUUGUGCAGGUGAGUAUUGCUGGCUGUUGCUGAAUGAUCCCCGGCUGUCCUUGUCGUUGUUGCCCUGGCUGAGGGAAACUCAUUGGCGGACUUUGUUGUUGUUUUUGCCGUGGCUUGCGGAGCAGCUCUGCUGAGACUUGUUGCUGCUGUUCAAUGAUCUCUUGCUGCCUUUGUCGUUGAUACCGUGGCGGAAGAGAUUUAAUUGGUUGUGCAGGGAUGAUUCGCUGUGUCGUUGUUGAUGAGGGUUCUGCCCGGCUCUGCUGCUGCCGCUCCAUACUCCGCAACUGUGCAAAACUUCGUACAGUUGUUCGCUUAGCAAUCACUUGCUGCCUUUGUUUUUGACGUCGUGGCAGGGGCGACCGAAUUGGAUUUGCAGAAUUAACUAGCUGCAUUUUUGCUGGUAGGCCUUCUGCCUGGCUCUGUUG